GUUCCUGCAACCAAGGUACAUGUACUUGACUGGAAUUGAACCUAGGUCCCUUCAGUCUGCAGGCCGAUGCUCUAUCCACGGAGCCAAACUAGUUAGGGCAGUGAUGUAUUUUCUAUAUCGGCAUCUUUUCACUAAUAUUGUCAAUAUUAUUUUUCAUAUUUAACAUUCUGCUUAAUCUCUAAACCACUAUAAACACUACUUAGAAAAUUUGAAUGUUUAAAUUGUUUUAUACUUGGCACUAUAACUUUGAGAGUACAUGGCUUAUAAUUUGCCAUGAAACACAGACUCUUGCUCAAUGUUACUUAUAUUCUAAAUGUUUGAUACUUAGUAAAAGCAUAGAAAGAUUUCAAUCUGGAAAAGACUAAAGUAAAGCAGUCUUCCCAUUCCACCCCCAACCUCAAAACUCUACAAAAGGAAAUAAGAGUGUAUGUUUCUCUCCCUCCCCACACUAUAGUAUUAAAUCAAUUCAUUUCUAUUGUACUUAUGAUUUAAACUUUGCUUUGUGAUUUAAAAGUAAGAAGAGCUUUCAAAAAAAAAAAAAAAAAAAGACAAAUUAACAGCUAAAAAUGUUAAACUUUUGUAGAAGCUGUUCUAAGUAACUAGAUGUUUAAUAAGAGCUGCUGUUUUCUUUCUUUACUUUUAGAUAAUAUAGAAUGCAGUGUGAUUAUACAAAUAUGAUCUCUUAACAAUGAAAUUCCUACAUUAAAUAUUUGAUUGGAGGAUAUUGUAAUUAAGGGCAUGUGAGAUUAUCAAGGUUCUGUGCUUUGUAAAAUAGAGAUGUAAAUGAGCUCCCAGAUACUCUUUUGCUUUAGACUUUUAUGGUUUAAUAAAGUAUGAAAAUAGUAAA